rnacentral:lncRNA from 1 species
AACUUCCACCCACACCUAAUCCUCAGCAACCCUAGCUAGCCACCAAAACUCCCAUCCACCCCAACGAGUCGGUGGCAUCCCUUUCUACUUCAUGCCGUUGGCAAAGCCUCCUAUUCUCUUUCUCUCUAUCUCCUUUUUUCUACCUCUUUCCCCUUGCUCUCUCUCUCUCUCUUGAUUUCUCUACUUCCCUCUUGAUCUCCCUCUUUCUUUCAAAGAAGAAGCCAUAUUUUCCUACUCAUUGUCUAGACAUUACAUGUGGUCUAAAAUCAAAUGGUAUUAAAUCCAACACCUACCAAAGCAAAUUGGAAAGAAGUGCUAGUGCUGGGUGUCCAUGAAAGAGAAAAGGUCGAGUAUAUUGGCUUGACAGUAGAUCUUGAUGCAAAAUCAAGGGGAGAGAUAGAAAGGGAGAAUGAGAGGGAAGAGGCUUUUCUGAAGGCGACGUGGAGAGACGUUUGCGGCGGUAGGGUGGGGUUGUUGACGGAAUUGGGUGGGUGUGAGUUUUGGUGGUCGUGUAAUUUUUUUUUCUUCUUCAAUUAUAAGCUUUUAUCUUUGUUUUAAUUUAAUUAAAGCUAAUACUGCUAACAAGUUAGUGGAAGAAUUUAUUUCAGUCCUUAGAAGUCAUUUUACAAAGAGGUAAAUUUGUGUCGCUCUCUCGCUACGCGAGGAGAGCCGUGUGUCACAUUUAAGGUUUCUUCUUGCGUCCAGUCGCCGUCUUCUCACGCUCAAUCGUCGUCACCCUCUCUCUCCUGACUAGUUGCGCUUAGUCGUCUUCCCAUGCUCAGUUGUCGUCGUCGUAUUCGAUGCCUCUUCCCGCUCUUGUUGUCCACGUCUCAUCGCCCUCAUCUCCUCAGUCCACCCUUGUCUACAUCCUCGCCUUUGGUACAACGUCAACUUCUCUGGUUCGAUCACUUUCGGAUUUUCCCCCCUUAGUAGUUUGUCUCCUUGUGUUCGG